CCAGCAUCCUGAUGACUCUAAAGUGCAUAGUUCAGCUGAAUCGUCCAUGUUGAACUCAACUUCCAAAAUGUCUUUCGCUCCUAUCUGAUGCUAU
rnacentral:snoRNA from 1 species